UUUCGUAUCUCAAUAUUAUAAACGCCUCUACAUAGCCUAAAUCCGCAAUUUUGACAGACUUUGGCCAACGUUUAGUUUUUAUAAAUCAAAUGUAUAAAAACGGAUAUCCUUCACCCAACCGAAAUUUUUGAUGGAAGUAAGGCCAGAUAUUGUACAUAGAUAUAGGAAGAUGUGGUUACGAGUGACAAUGAGACAACUCUCCAUCCAAGUUUUUGCAUAAGUCGGAUACAAUUACUCAUGUUUAGCGAUGACAUUCGAUUCAUAAUUAAAUAAUUCAAUAAUUUAAGAAAAGAACAUUUACAAUGAUAUUUUUAAUACAAUGCUUGCAAUAGCACCAUGAUCUGUUGAAUAACACAUUAACGAUACCUGUAUGGACAUAUGUUGAAAACGUGUUAAGUAUAUAAAACAGACUUUAAUAUUUAAUUUCAGUAAGAUUUUAAAUUUUUAGAAUUUGACACUUAGAAAGAAACAAAUACAGGGUCCUACAUGCACCUUUUUUUAUAGGGGCAAUCCAUUAAAUUACUAACCGAUCAUGUAUGAUAUUGAAAAAAAAUCUCAAAACCGAGUUCGGUUUUUUCAGUCUUUAAAAACUAUAAAGUCAAUUUUUUUUUUAAUUAAAUAUAUGUUAGAGAAUAUGAUAUUAACCCGUUUCUUCCUGAAUAAGUUCAAGCAGUCAGCGAGAAAUGGUAUUUUCGGCGAAUCUAGUACGUUCAACUUGGUGAAAGCCACAAUUGUCCAUGACGACAGUGUCUCUGGGUCGCAAGUAAUAAGUAAAGAAUCGAACUUAUUCCUGUAAUGAACCAGAAAACUGUCAACGAGAUGAAAUUCAUCUGAAGAUCUAUAUUAACAUGUCAAAAUGUUAAAAUAUUCAAUUCCAAAGAGCUCGUGAAGGAAGUUUAUCGUGUGUGUGGCUUUGGAAGCCUAUCUUGUACCUUAGUUAAUUGCCCACUUUUGCAUGUCUAAAUUGUCUAAUUCCGUUUUUUAAUGACAGCUGAUUUGUCAAAGAAAACAAACAACUUUAUUUCAUGUCAUCCUCUAUGUCCAUUCAACAUUGGUAGUCAUUACAUUCGUCAAUGCGUUGACAUUCAAAUUAGAAAAUUAAGAACUCUUGUACUUCGAAGCGGACCAGUAAGGUACUUCUUGGAAUUAGAUAAUGACAUUGUUUACAAAGCGAAAGAAUAGCCUUAAAUAAGAAUCAAUAAUUCCUGUCUCUUUAGGUCCAAUGGAGCUUAUUAUGGCAUGACUGGAGGUGGUAUUGUGUUUAUUGUGCUGGUUGUAGCUUGCUGUUGUUAUGGGUGUAGGUCGAGAAGGCCGAGUGGAGGACAGGUGAUAUCAACUUUUCAGCCAACAGUGCCUUACGCUCCUUACUCUAUUUCACCUGGAGCUCAUCCAUUUGGAAUGACAAACAAUGGUUUUUCGGGAGGACACAAUCCACCAAUUGCCUCGGCGCCAGUUACAAAUGGUAAACGGAGCUCAUCACUGUCAUCGCUAAGCAGUAGUUUAAAGCUAGCGUCAAAUGCGUUUGAAAUGGCAGGAAAUUUAGGAGAAAUUGGUGGAAGCGUGAGUGAAAUAUCUGAAGCCUUUAUGUAAAUUUAGGCUUUAGAUUACAGGAUUAUAAAGAUACAUGUGUGCUUGUGUAUGCAAAGUUUUGCAUAUAAACUGACUACUCUAAUGUGUACUAACAAACUAUCAACCAACUGUUUUGUUGCAAUGCUAUACUCAUGUUAAUGUAAUGCAUACUAUUAGAGUCAAUAGUUUUUAUUGUAAAGUGUACUAUAAGCAAUCUUUUUGGGGCGUAUGGCAAAGAAGGCAGAUUUUUCCAAUCUUGACCUUCUAAGAAAUUUUUUAAGAUCAUUUGUUUUUUAUAGUAAAACAAAAUUACAUGUAAAAAUAAGAUAUGGUAUGAUUACCAGUGAGACAACUAUCCAGCAGAGUCCAAAUGACAUGGAUAUAGGCUUUAGAUCACCGAUUGACCAACAGCAAUAAGCAAAACCCAUACCGUAUAUGUAGCGUAAAAAAUACAACAUGACAAGAUGUUGAUUAGGAAUUCAAACGAGACAAACCAAUGUAUAUGGUGACAUUGAUAUAAACAUGUAUUUUCAACUUCCACAAAAAUCAAAUAUUGUUAUUAAGAUUAACCAGUUGUAGUACUUUAAAUGUAGUAGAUUGACAAAACCAACAGUUACUAUAACUACAGACGAAUAUAGCAAUGCUUCAACUUCAUCUUGCCACGCCAUUUUAAAUUAGUAUAAAUCCAGUAUAGUAUGCGAUUGUGAGGAGAUUGAUUAAUAAAGAUUUUACCCCUAUAUCGAGUGUGAUAUGAUGUUUCUCUACUCGAGAAAUUUUCACAUUUAAAACGCGAGCUUUCCGAGAUUUAGUGGUGGCAUUGGAUUCUCUAAUGAUUUUGAGACGAUAUGUAGACAAACGUAAUCUUUCUUUUUCAAUAACCUUGAAAAAGUUGUGAUAUUUCAAUAUAACGUCGUCAUUUUGCCGUGACUUCACAAUAGAAAAUUCAAAGGAAAGAAAGAAAAUAAAAAAAACCACACGUUGAUUAAAAAAAUAAUAAUAGUUCAAGAAAAAGAUAACAAUUAAGGAGAUAUAGAUUCUACCACUGCCUUUAAUGUUAUUCGAUUUUUUUUCACUCAAGACAGUUAAAUUUUCAAAUUUAAAACGCGAGGCUUGC